rnacentral:rRNA from 1 species
CCUACGGGGUGCAGCAGUAGGGAAUUUUCCACAAUGGGCGAAAGCCUGAUGGAGCAACGCCGCGUGGGUGAAGAAGGUCUUCGGAUCGUAAAACCCUGUUGUUAGAGAAGAAAGUGCGUGAGAGUAACUGUUCACGUUUCGACGGUAUCUAACCAGAAAGCCACGGCUAACUACGUGCCAGCAGCCGCGGUAAUACGUAGGUGGCAAGCGUUAUCCGGAUUUAUUGGGCGUAAAGGGAACGCAGGCGGUCUUUUAAGUCUGAUGUGAAAGCCUUCGGCUUAACCGGAGUAGUGCAUUGGAAACUGGGAGACUGGAGUGCAGAAGAGGAGAGUGGAACUCCAUGUGUAGCGGUGAAAUGCGUAGAUAUAUGGAAGAACACCAGUGGCGAAAGCGGCUCUCUGGUCUGUAACUGACGCUGAGGUUCGAAAGCGUGGGUAGCAAACAGGAUUAGAUACCCCAGUAGUC